rnacentral:rRNA from 1 species
CCUACGGGGGGCUGCAGUAAGGAAUAUUGCGCAAUGGGCGAAAGCCUGACGCAGCGACGCCGCGUGGGGGAUGAAGGUCUUCGGAUUGUAAACCCCUUUCGGGAGGGAAGAUGGAGCGAGCAAUCGUUCGGACGGUACCUCCAGAAGCAGCCACGGCCAACUUCGUGCCAGCAGCCGCGGUAAUACGAAGGUGGCAAGCGUUGUUCGGAUUGGCGUGGCGUGCGUGGUGGGGAGGCGGUAUGGCAUGUGUUAAAGCUUCGGGCCCAACCCGGAAAGCGCAGAGGGUACUGCCAGGCUAGAGGGUGGGAGAGGAGCGCGGAAUUCCCGGUGUAGCGGUGAAAUGCGUAGAGAUCGGGAGGAAGGCCGGUGGCGAAGGCGGCGCUCUGGAACAUACCUGACGCUGAGACACGAAAGCGUGGGGAGCAAACAGGAUUAGAUACCCUAGUAGUC